CCCCACCCAGAUGCCUAGAACAGCCCCAGGGCCUGGGCAGAAAGGCAGGUGUAGACAAGACUGUCUUGCUGGGGGGGGGGGGGGGAGGCACACUGCCAGACACACAAAACAAGAAUAUAAAUGAGGACAGGGAACUCCUAAUCCUUCCCGGCUGUGGCUGCUACCGCUCUGCGGGCCGCGCUGCCUUCUCCUGGCCAGCUCCCGGCCUGGGAGGUGGACCUCGGCCGCCAAGAGCGGAGCCGGCCAAGCGGGUCGGAGCGAUGCCCGGCCGGCGGCCUCGGCUCCCGGUGACUCAGGGCUCCCAGACCCCUCCUGGUGGGCACGUUCCUGCGCCGCUAUUUUUAGAGCCGACUGCAGGCCUGAGUGCAGAGCUGCAGAGAAGGGGGGCUCGUGGGACGCAGGCGCCUGACCACCUCUUCUUCCUCGAGGCUCCCCAGCCCCGGCCUUCCCGCUGUCCGUCUGGAAGAGUAGGAGCCCUAGAGGGGCGCGAUGUGGAGUCACAGAAAGUGAAGCGCCGACCCGGGGCAAGGCCCCCGCCCCCAGGCCGUCUCCCCUCCACCGGGCCCGCAGCUCCACCCGGCUGUUCCAGGCCUCACCCGUGGAGACCCGGCGCCUCCGACCUACCGCGGGUCUGGCUAUUGGGCGAGAGGCCAGGACGGGCAGGGCUCCCGGCGACCCACGUGGCUGCGGGUGGGGGAACUGGGCCAUCAGCUCCAGGUUCUGGGGAAAAAGACCUCACCCCCGGAGGCCACGCCCACCACCCUCCUGGGGCCACAUCUAGGUCUGGGUGCCCUCUCAGACCCUCCUUUCAUCUGGUUCCGCUCAAGUUCCGCCCAAGGCCUCCUGGUCAGGUAUCUGUUCAUCUGCAAUGGAUGGAGUGGAUCUGCCCCUGGGGAACUGGGGCAGAAGUGAGAAGAGUAGGGAGAGGAGACCUCCCCCAGCGUGAGUAGGAUUAGAAGGAGAGCGGAGGGAGAGGCAACAUGGAGGCGUCUAGGCUGAGGACGCAUUUGCACUAAUGGAGCUGUCCCACCACCACCACCAUGGGGGCAGAGUUUCUAGCAGGGACCCCAGCCCUUUGAUUUCCCUAGCCUCUGGGAGUGGACACUGAAGCUGCUUGAAGUCUGUUGGCUCAUCCUGACUUUUGAAAAAGCAGACUUGUGGAGGGCUGAAACUGCACGUGCCUCAUUCAGAAGACAAUUUUCAAGCGGUGCCUGGCGCAUAGGAAGUGCUCAGGAUUCUUUGUUUAAUUUGCUUUUCCUUGGUAGCUAUCAAAUUCUUUUUCAAGCCCAGGUCUGCUGUAAUGAGGGGCUGGCGGUAGCCCUCAGAAUAAAAUUGAAAACCUU